AUUUUAAUUUCAUAGAUGUACUUAUAUGUGAAGCCCUGUUGGAAUACCAACUAGCUACCAAUUACAUUGAUACUUCUGAGGUGUCUACUGGUGAAGAACAUCUGAAGAAAGUGACAACAAUGCUGAGUGAUUUGAAGCUGAACCACAAAUGUGUGUCAAUACUUAUUAACACACUAAAUCAGAAGGCAAUUCUUUGGAGUUCAAGGAACGAUGAUCAAAAAGCUCUGGACAUUUUACUGGAAGCUCAGGAAUUGUAUAAUAAAUACAAACAUGAAGUUGAUAGAGCCCCAGUCUACAUACAUGAG